GUGCAUUAGAAUUAGAAUCUAAUUAAAUAANUAAUACUAUUCACUUCCGUUAAUUUUAUUU
rnacentral:tRNA from 1 species